rnacentral:rRNA from 1 species
AGUGGGGAAUAUUGCACAAUGGGCGCAAGCCUGAUGCAGCCAUGCCGCGUGUAUGAAGAAGGCCUUCGGGUUGUAAAGUACUUUCAGCGAGGAGGAAAGGGUGUGAGUUAAUACCUUACAUCUGUGACGUUACUCGCAGAAGAAGCACCGGCUAACUCCGUGCCAGCAGCCGCGGUAAUACGGAGGGUGCAAGCGUUAAUCGGAAUUACUGGGCGUAAAGCGCAUGCAGGCGGUUUGUUAAGCGAGAUGUGAAAGCCCCGGGCUCAACCUGGGAACUGCAUUUCGAACUGGCAAACUAGAGUCUUGUAGAGGGAGGUAGAAUUUCAGGUGUAGCGGUGAAAUGCGUAGAGAUCUGAAGGAAUACCAGUGGCGAAGGCGGCCUCCUGGACAAAGACUGACGCUCAGAUGCGAAAGCGUGGGGAGCAAA